UGGGGAAUAUUGGGCAAUGGGCGCAAGCCUGACCCAGCAACGCCGCGUGAAGGAAGAAGGCUUUCGGGUUGUAAACUUCUUUUGUCAGGGACGAGUAGAAGACGGUACCUGACGAAUAGGCCACGGCUAACUACGUGCCAGCAGCCGCGGUAAUACGUAGGGGGCGAGCGUUGUCCGGAAUUACUGGGCGUAAAGGGUGCGUAGGCGGUUUGGUAAGUUGGAUGUGAAAUACCCGGGCUUAACUUGGGGGCUGCAUCCAAUACUGUCGGACUUGAGUGCAGGAGAGGAAAGCGGAAUUCCUAGUGUAGCGGUGAAAUGCGUAGAUAUUAGGAGGAACACCGGUGGCGAAGGCGGCUUUCUGGACUGUAACUGACGCUGAGGCACGAAAGCGUGGGGAGCAAACAGGAUUAGAUACCCUGGUAGU
rnacentral:rRNA from 1 species